rnacentral:rRNA from 1 species
UGGUGGGUUGCCUUGUCAGGUUGAUUCCGGUAACGAACGAGACGGACGCCUGCUAAAUAGUGACGUCUGCUUUUGCAGUCGAACGCUUCUUAGAGGGACUUGGGGCGUUUAGCUCCAGGAAGUCGUCGGCAAUAACA